rnacentral:rRNA from 1 species
GAUCGGAGUCUGCAACCCGACUCCGUGAAGCUGGAUUCGCUAGCAAUCGCGCAUCAGCCAUGGCGCGGUGAAUACGUUCCCGGGCCUUGUACACACCGCCCGUCACACCAUGGGAGCCGGGAAUGCCCGAAGUCGGUGACCCAACCGUAAGGAGGGAGCCGCCGAAGGCAGGCCUGGUAACUGGGGUGAAGUCGUAACAAGGUACC